CACCACAAGAUGAGAUUUCUUUAAAGGGCCGUUGAAGAUGACAACGUUGAUAGGCUAUAGAUGUAAAGGCAGUAAUGUCAAAGUCGAGUAGUACUAAUAGCCCGUAAGCUUAUGUGAAU
rnacentral:rRNA from 1 species